UCUUGUUUGGGGGCAGCAGUAGCUCAACAGGUUGAGCGGGUUGUCCAGUAAUCGUAAGGUUGCAGGUUCGAUCCCGGCUCCGGACAGAGAAGUCUGCUGUUGUGUCCUUGGGCAGGACACUUAACCCCCCUUGCCUGCUGGUGGUGGUCGGAGGGACCGGUGGCGCCUGUGCUUGGCAGCCUGCGCUGUCAGUGCGCCCCAGGGCAGCUGUGGCUACAUCGCAGCUCAUCACCAUCAGUGUGUGAAUGGAUGAAUGAUACACUGUAGUGUAAAGCGCUUUGGAGUCCUUACUCUGAGAGGCGCUAUACAAGUGCAGGUCAUUCAUCAUUUAUUUGUUGCAUUAUCGCCACCAACUGGAGUUGAGUGGGACUCUAAAUACUAUUUAUGUGAAUAUGAAAAAAUAAUAAAUAAUAUUAAUACUACAGAAAUGUUCUGUAGGCCUGGGCUAGAAGACAAUGUUAAAGAGCGGGUCAAUUGAGCCUCGGAGUCCUUCUCCACCCACGUAUCAAUUUUAAAAAAUGCAACAUUAGUAGGCGUUGCCUGGAGGACCGAGAGGGCGGAGCCGCGGCAGUGACGAAGACGAUGGCUAACUAGACGAAGCUAGCUCCCUUCACUCUGAGCAGUUAUUAGAAGUGGAGGAUGUUUCUCCCCCUCCUUACCCAGACACUCGAGAAGAAAGGGACCAAGUCUAUUUGGAGGAGACAAGCGGACCUGAGCCUUAUUGUUGUGAGCUUGUGAGUUGCCUGUAACUCCCAGAACCGACCCAACAAAACCACCUCUGAACGGUCCUCUGGUGUCUGCAGCUGGUCUCUGGUGUCUGCAGCUGGUCUCCUCUGCUGGUGUCAUCAGGAUCAGGAGCUUCCAGAAGAAUGUGCCUUUCAAUGACUCUUUCCCCCUUAUUUGUUAUAUUAAUUAAAUGAAUCUCAAUUUAUAUAUUUCCUGUUUUUGUUCAUGUCCAUAAAUACUUAAACAUGCUUGAAAUUAAAACAAGCUUUUAACAGU